UGAGUUUAUUGGUACAUUUUAGGUAUACAGUGCAGUUACAUUCAUCAUUGGGAUUUAGUAGACCUCAUGUCCUCUUCUUUUCAAACCCAGAAAAACAGAACGAGGCCCCUUCAACUUCUCUUUAGUGAAACUCACAGGUAACAUUUUAAUACCUCAGCUCAGUUAUAUGUGAGCAGAGCAUCAAGCAAUAAUAAAAUUUUCAAAGUUGGAUUAAAGCACCUUUGCAAUCUUUUAAAAAUAGAAACGGUGUCAAAACUCUGAAAGAAACACCAGUCGUGGGUUUAGAAAGGGUGCUGGCCGGCACACACACUCUGUCUCACGGGGCCUCCACAGGUGUAGGCAGGUUUGGAUGUGUGUGGCUGUUCUCGUGCCAGUGUUUGACUCUUUCACCCAGAGCACAGUGGUUAGUCCACAGUGAGGAUUCAACAGUCAUUCGACACACGUUUUUGGAGUGUCUGCUGUUAAGGGCAUUGAUCAGAGGUUCUAUGGCUGUGAUAGACACGGUGAUGGGUUUCAUGAAAUUUUCAACACGUGGAGAGAGACGAGAGCAGCAAAAAAAAAAGCGUGCAAAGAAACAAAUAUAAAUGUAUACAAUAAUUGGAGGGCUGAUAAGUACUGUGGAGGAAAUAACUUGGGAGUGGAAAGAGAAAAACCACCUCUCUCAGACAAGGUGGAUGGGACGGCCGCUAAGAUCUGAGCCAGAAGGGUGUGGAACGAGGAGAAGAGGGUUUAAAAUGGCAGAACUGUGUGUGCAAAGGGAGUAGUGUGCUUUAGGGCUCAGCCGAGACCACUGAGGUUGCAGCCAAACGCUCAAAGCAGAGGAGGCCACGGAGGCUGGGAGACUAGGAAGUCAGACCAGGGCCUCCUGGGCCGCCAGCUUCCGUCCCGCGCUCUGUGGGAGGCCCCGUGGGAGUCUGAGCCGAAGUGUUGCGCAGUCCACACUGGCGAGCGUCUCUCGCGGGCAGCCUCCAGCCGAGCAGCGGGAGAAGCAGAGCUGAUAAAAGCCGGUGGCAUCAUCCAGGUCAAAGGCGGCAGCCCAGGACCAGGGCGGUGGUGCGGAGGAGAACCUGGAAGGGACACGACCCGCUGGUGGUCUGCAGCUGGCCAGAGAGAACUGGAGCAUAAUGGCAGGUGUCACUCCUAUUUCUCUGUUUUGCUGUUGGCUACUGUGACCUGAGGUUCACCACAGAGACUGAAAAAUAGACUUACGGGAUGGCCAGGAAGAAAAACCUGGUUUUCCGAAGGACUGAGCAGAAGAGAAGCACCCAGCAGCCCUGGCCCUCGUGUCCAGUUAUUACCCGAGGAUGAGGUGCAGUUGAGUCGACCUUUGUUACAGCAGCGUAAACUCCGCCAGGCCCUUCUGGAACCCAAGUGGCAGGUUCAGACCAGGAGCUCAUGCUUGUCAAGCCGUCAACUGAGAAGCUACAUAAAUGAUUAUCUCUCCUGCUGAAACUUUUCACAGAACUACCUGCAAGGUGGGACUAAAGCUUCUACUUGUUUUCUUCUACAUCUAGAGUGGCGUUGCACAAGAGGGAGGGGCCCAGGGCUGAAGAAGAAGCAAUGGAAAAGAAGUAUCGGGCAUGACUGUGUUAGCAUUCUGUAAAGAGUUAUAAAAUUUGAUCCUAUGUAAAAAAGCCAUUCAAUCUGAAAUUCACGUGUGAGGUACGUUCAGUCAGUUACUGAUCAAAUCAAAACAAUCAAGGUGUCUGUAUUUUCACUUGCUAGGGACCCGAUCCAUUUCAAAUCCUACUAGGUGGCUUAUUUUCAUUUUUAAUUUUGUAAUGCACCUCACUGUGGGCCAGGCACUGGGACGAGGGUGUGAAGUGCCCCUAAAAUGCACCACAACCCUUCAAGGAAACACUACUGCCCCAUUGACAGCGGGCAAGUUUUUCCUGAUGUUCCCUGACUAGCAGGUGCACCCGCUGUGAGUCCAGCUGUUUACGCUCUGAUUCACUCACCCUUGGCUCAGCGUUGUGUCUCAGGCAGCCACCCCGUGGGCACAGGUCACCUUCAGAGGCAUGGACAAGAUGAACCAGGCCCUGCCCUUUGUGAGCUUAAAUCCUCUCUGGGAGUGGGCAGACAACAAACAGCUAAACACAGGCACCAGCAGGGCUGAGUUAGGCAGUGACAGAUAUACAAAGAAAGGAAAUAACUCAGUCUGCUAGGGAUAAGAGAAGACCAGAGCAGAGAUUAGUUUUUGAGAGAAUGCAGAGUCCGAUUUUAGGGCCCAGGAGAUGCUCCUUUGGCAUCUAAAGGAAGAGGCCCUUCUGGCAACUGGUGGUAAUACCAACACUCGUCAUGGGUGAGGGUGAUCAGAAAGUACAGUGAAGGUUUACGUUCUAAAAACGUGUCACAGGAAAAGGUACAUUGCCAUUAAUCCUCAUCAGAAAUACUCCUUGCUUCAAACACACUUAACCUGUUUGUCUUGCCCUUUUCUGGAGCAGUUGAUGGUUUGUACUGACAGAAGUCUCUGUCAGAUAGAGAUAUGACGGCGUGUCCUCAUCCCCGGAUCUGGCACUGUGACUUUUGUGGCCCCUCCCCGAAGUCAGAAGGACCACGAGGCAGAAAUGCUUUGCAUCAGUUCAGGACAUCAAGGCAGCCUCAGCAAGGCAACUAAAGGCACUCCCAAAAGAAGACUUUCAGAGCUGCUUCAAAAGUCGGCAAGAACAAGGACAUAAAUGUGCUUGAAGCCAGAGGGAGGAUUUUAAGGGAGACUCAUCUUGCAUUGCAAUUUUUUAAAAAAAUGUAAACAUUCACUGUAGGUUCUGAUCACACCUUGUAUUGAGUGCUGGUGUGUUCUUGUCACUAACACUUAUCCUUUAAAAUACAUCAGCUUACUCAUUCUCCCAAGAAUCCUGUAGGGCAUUGUUCCCGUUUCUCAGACAAGGAUACAGGUUCCAUAACCUUCCCAGAGUCCUGGGGCAACGAGGUGCAGAGUCAGGCCUCAGACGCAGACCCUGGCUCUCGGGUCUCCCCUCCUCUCCCCUCUGUCCCGCUUCUCUCUGGCGUAGACCAGGUGGGUCCGGCAGUGGGGAGUCCGGGGACAGGGUGUGGCAGGAGGGGUCCUUACCACACAUUCUGCGGUACAGUCAUUGGACUUGACUGAACACCAAUUGUUAGAAAGGACAGCAAGCCGGGCCCGAAUCCUGGGUGUGCCAGGGUUUGAGGUCAGGACGGAAGAGGAAUCCUCAGAGGAUGAGAACCACCUGUAGGCACCUUUGUCCUACCUACCUGCCAAAGACCAGAGACAGGAGAGCAGCUCUGGUUUCUUUGCUUCAGAAACUCAUGCACUUAACCUCUGUGCCAUCCUGUCUCCCCUAAUUACAUUAAAUAAGCAAGUAAAUAGGCUCAUUAAUUUUGAAAUGGACUCCAGAUGUGACGAUCCUGAAGCUGCAAGGCUGUGUCAGUUAUGUAAAAGCGGCUUUGAGGCUGGGGUCAUGCUGUCAGCUCCUCCAUCGGCCACCUCGCCUACCUGUCACACACAAAUAGGAAUUCAGGGAGUGAUAGGAGCCUCCGUUGCAUUUUAAUACUUUUGCUCCUAGGAUGUCUGUUUUUGGGCUAAGACUUGGGCUUCAGCCUCCUCUGAGUCGUGUGACAUCUGUGCUGGGGUUGUUUCAAAAGCCAAGAAGUUGCCUCAUCAGCUGAGAAUUGAAUUCUGUAUACGCACAGGGGAGCCUUAGUCAAAAUAGAAAUAAAAGUCGUGUUUACGUACACGCUGACAUGAGACCCUUCAUUGAGUUACUGAGCCUGCCAGCGUUUAUCCCCCGUUCACACUCCAGUAUGCACUGUGCUAGAAGCUGGCAAUAAAAAUAAGACACAGCCCCUGGUUAGGAGGACCUUUCAAGAGUUGGGUCAGAAAGCAAGAUGCCGCAGAGUAAAUAAAGCGGUGGUGGUGACAUCACAAAGCUCUGUGUCCCCCCGGUGAGUGGAAGCCACCUGUGCCAGUGUUUGUGUGUGUGCGUGAAUCCGCUUUCUGUUUCUAAAACAAAAUACCUAUGACUGGGAACUGUAUAAACACACAGGGUUUAGUUAGCUCAUAGUUUGAAAGGCUGAAGGCCCAAGACCAGGUGGUCUCAUGUACUCAACCACUGAGGUAGGCAGGGAAGUGAGCGGGGAAAUGGUCACAGGCAGAACCGUCCAAGUGUGUGGGUUGGUCUCAGGCUGCAGCAACUCACUCGUAGGAAAAAGUAUCAGUCCUUCCCAAGAGCAGCGCCCUGAAUGAUCUGAUUCUUUUUUUUUUUUUUGGUACCGGGAAUUGAACUCAGGGACCCAUGUUUGCCAGGCAGUUGCCACAUCACUGAGCUGCAUUCUCGGCCCUUGAAUGGUCUGAUUCUUAAAAGUUCUACCACAUCAACACUACCACACCAAGGACCGAGCCUUCCACACAAAGACCUUUCGGGAACAAACCGUAUUCCAACCAUGGCAGCGUGUGGUACCUAAGUGGGUGGGAGACAGGAAGAGCCGUAGCAGACAAAGCAGACACGGAGCCUGGAAAGGUAAGUUGAGCACGACCAGCCUUCCACCACCGACUCUCCUUCCUUCCACCCACCCACCCAUCAUCCACCCGCCGUCCAUCCAUUCCUUUGUUAAUGCUCCCAUUCACUUACCA
rnacentral:lncRNA from 1 species